rnacentral:rRNA from 1 species
GAUGAACGCUGGCGGCGUGCCUAAUACAUGCAAGUCGAGCGAACAGACGAGGAGCUUUCUCCUCUGACGUUAGCGGCGGACGGGUGAGUAACACGUGGAUAACCUACUUAUAAGACUGGGAUAAAUUCGGGAAACCGGAGCUAAUACCGGCUAAUAUAUUGAACCGCAUGGUUCAAUAGUUAAAGCCGGUUUUGCUGUCACUUAUAGAUGGAUCCGCGCCGCAUUAGGUAGUUGGUAAGGUAACGGAUGACCAAGGCGACGAUGCGUAGCCGGCCUGAGAGGAGGAGAGGCAAGACGGGGACUGAGACACGGAGAAGAAUACUACGGGAGGCAGAAGGGGGGAAUUUUGGAGAAUGGGCGCAAGACUGAACAAGAAAUGAAGCGUGAAUGAUGAAGGACUUAGGGUUGUAAAAUGAUGUUGUACGGGAAGAAAAGAAUUCUUUGAAUACAGGCGGGUCAGGACGGUACAGUAAGAGUAAGCAAGGGCUAAGUACGUG